rnacentral:rRNA from 1 species
UGGGGAAUAUUGGACAAUGGGCGGAAGCCUGAUCCAGCCAUGCCGCGUGUGUGAAGAAGGCCUUUUGGUUGUAAAGCACUUUAAGCGAGGAGGAGGCUACUUGGAUUAAUACUCUAGGAUAGUGGACGUUACUCGCAGAAUAAGCACCGGCUAACUCUGUGCCAGCAGCCGCGGUAAUACAGAGGGUGCGAGCGUUAAUCGGAUUUACUGGGCGUAAAGCGUGCGUAGGCGGCUUCUUAAGUCGGUUGUGAAAUCCCUGAGCUUAACUUAGGAAUUGCAUUCGAUACUGGGAAGCUAGAGUAUGGGAGAGGAUGGUAGAAUUCCAGGUGUAGCGGUGAAAUGCGUAGAGAUCUGGAGGAAUACCGAUGGCGAAGGCAGCCAUCUGGCCUAAUACUGACGCUGAGGUACGAAAGCAUGGGGAGCAAACAGG